UCCGGUUUGUCACCGGCAGUCUGUUGUAAGUGCCCAACUAAAUGAUGGCAACACAACAUAGGGGUUGCGCUCGUUGCGGGACUUAACCCAACAUCUCACGACACGAGCUGACGACAACCAUGCACCACCUGUCACCGCUGCCCCGAAGGGAAACUCUAUCUCUAGAGCGGUCAGCGGGAUGUCAAGUCUUGGUAAGGUUCUUCGCGUUGCUUCGAAUUAAACCACAUGCUCCACUGCUUGUGCGGGCCCCCGUCAAUUCCUUUGAGUUUCAGUCUUGCGACCGUACUCCCCAGGCGGAGUGCUUAAUGCGUUAGCUUCGGCACUGAGGGUGGUACCCCCCAACACCUAGCACUCAUCGUUUACGGCGUGGACUAC
rnacentral:misc_RNA from 1 species